UACACCACAGGAGUACUUCAGCAAAUGGGGAUUUAAUUUUUAAUCUUGUUUUUUUCUCACUCUGCAGCUGCAACCUGAAGUGCUCUCUACAUAGACUGCAGGAGGGCUUGAAGGGUUCACCUUCAGCUCCCCUUCUUGCUGAAAUGGUCUUCUUUCAUGAUGGUCAACCGAAUCCUCCUCCAAUGCAGCAAAAUGGGAGCUGGAAGACUCUACUGUCCCUCAGACUGAAGUGGAGGAAGAAUUGACUAUUUAUCAGGCUGAACUAUUGGAGGAAGACCCAGCUGUGACAAGUUUUCUUUGUCUUCUGAGGAAGAGGAUCUCUUUGAAUGUUUGUUUGGUGGCAAGAAGGCAAAAGGUUUUCUUUGGGUUGCUCCCAGAAUUUUGAACUUUCUUCUUCGGGAUGCCAGGACAGCUCUUUGCUUGUAGUCUCUUUGGCAGCAAUUGAAAACAUUUUUAUUUUAUCAGGCUUUUACGAACUGACUUUUGGAAAUUACUGGUAUACUACACUGUUUUGUUAAAUUUUAUAUUGUCUUUUAAUAGACACUGAAUGAUUGUAACUCCAUUUAAUUGCUUUCAAAAUAGUGUAUGAUGUGCAUGAUGCUUUUGUGAGGUUUUAUUUUGUAUUGGUUUUAAUCAUUUGUGUGCUGCCUUGCAUCUCAUUACUGGAAGAAGUCAAAAUAUAAAAGAAUAAAAUCAUCAUUGUUAUUA